rnacentral:rRNA from 1 species
GAUGAACGCUAGCGGCAGGCUUAACACAUGCAAGUCGAGGGGUAGAGGUUGCUUGCAACCUUGAGACCGGCGCACGGGUGCGUAACGCGUAUGCAACCUACCUUUUACAGAGGGAUAGCCCAGAGAAAUUUGGAUUAAUACCUCAUAGUAUAUAGUCUUCGCAUGUUGACUAUAUUAAAGUUCCAACGGUAAAAGAUGGGCAUGCGUCCUAUUAGCUAGAUGGUAAGGUAACGGCUUACCAUGGCAACGAUAGGUAGGGGUCCUGAGAGGGAGAUCCCCCACACUGGAACUGCGAAACGGACCAGACUCCUACGGGAGGCAGCAGUGAGGAAUAUUGGACAAUGGGCGCAAGCCUGAUCCAGCCAUGCCGCGUGCAGGAAGAAGCAUCUAUGGUGUGUAAACUGCUUUUGUACAGGAAGAAACACCCCGACGUGUCGGGACUUGACGGUACUGUAAGAAUAAGGAUCGGCUAACUCCGUGCCAGCCGCCGCAGUAACAC